rnacentral:tRNA from 1 species
GUUAUGACUCAGUGGUAGCGUGCUUGCCUAGCAUGCAUGAGGCACUGGGUUCAAUUCUCAGCAUCACA